GGACAUCCCUUCCAGUGCUAACCAAAAGUUUAUUUUGUGUACGAAUCGCUUGUUUGCCAUCUGAUUGGAAAAUAUCAGAGUUGGCCACUACCCAAUCCUGGAAAAUAUUUACAAAGGAACAUAUUCAACAAUUGAAGAACAAGGGCAACAGAUGUAUUGUCUUUCUUGCACUCUAGUAAAUGAGAAUAUCGAUUUAUCGAGAUUUUAAUUUAAAAUUAAUUGCAGGACUUUGAUAUUCAAACAUGUUCGAACAAUCGAUAUUAGGUUCAUUUUAUUUUUAUUAUUUUCUAGAUUCAAAUUUUUCGUUCUCUCUAACGUCCAAAUAUUAACAUCUAUCUGAUCUACCUUGUUUUAUUUCAUCGAUGUCUGUAUAUGCGACAUACGUUCUUGUUCUCAUAUAUAUAAUUCAGAUGAGGGAUUUAAUAAAAUAAUUUGUUUAUAUUAUAUAAAGAUGCAAUUAUGUCGUACUCUCUUGAUCUUUUAUCUUUGAUAAUCGCUGAUAUAAGAGGUAUAGAAAGUAGUCAGCGUUUUCCCCUGCUGUGAAAUAAACAUCUUUAUUACUGAAGAAUUAUUUAACAAUAAGAGAUACAUAGCAAAGAGUGCACUCAAACUAAAAUAUAACAGUAUUGUGUUUUCAUCCUUGCUCUUCGGUUACGAAAUAAAAAUUGUAAACAUGAUCCUCGCGAUAAUAUUAACUAUUUUUACGCAAUUCUUCUAAUUCUUACAUAUCGCAUCGCGGAUUCGAUCGAUACGAGCACAGAAGUAAUGUACAAAUACUUCCAUUUGUUUGAUAAUAUUGUAAAGCAGAUUAAGUCGCGCUGUAUAUAAUUCAAGACGCAUUUGAAAAUAAUCUUGCAGCACGUCCGUAUAUAUACCUUUCCCUCGUUAUGCGAUUCUUUCGGACAUUAACAGCGAUUUAAGGAAUGCAAUUCGAGCGAGAAAUUUUCAAAACAUCGGUUUCAAAUCAUUCGGA